GAACUACUCCCUCCGUCCCAAAAUUUUGUUUUAGGUUUGUCUAGAAAUGGAUGUAUCUAAAUACUAUAACAUGACUAGAUACAUUCAUAUUUAGACAAAUGUAAGACAAGAAUUUUGGGACGAAGGAGUACAAA
rfam:Hordeum vulgare subsp. vulgare, WGS project CAJW01000000 data, contig: morex_contig_1564657